rnacentral:rRNA from 1 species
GACGGAAGGUGCAAGCGUUGCUCGGAAUCACUGGGCGUAAAGGGUGCGUAGGCGGCUUGGUAAGUUGGGUGUGAAAGCCCCGGGCUCAGCCCGGGAAGGGCACUCGAAACUGCCGAGCUGGAGUACCGGAGGGGAGAGUGGAAUUCCUGGUGUAGCGGUGAAAUGCGUAGAUAUCAGGAGGAAUACCGGUGGCGAAAGCGACUCUCUGGACGGCAACUGACGCUGAGGCACGAAGGCCAGGGGAGCAAACGGG